AUUCACGCCUUUUGUGACGCAAGCCUAGAAGAUCGGUAUAAUAAAUUAUAAAAGAAUCGAAAUCGCGGAUUGCAGUUGGGGAGAGAGUUGCAUCUCCCCAGGAGGUGGCGGCGAUGCUGCUGGUGCACCGCGCAACCCUUACCCGAGGGCGCGGUGUAUCGGUCGUCUGUCGUCGGCCACCGCGACGUCGCGCCGUUGUAAUUCUCUCAUCGGUUGUCGACUCAUUGAUUUUCUUUUCAUUUUCUCGCUUUAAUCGCUACUACCUACUUUAAAUUUAUCGGUCGUAAUUACAGCACUCGACUUAAAGGUUUAUAACUCAAUUUACAUAACUGAUUAAUUUAAUCCUUUAGUUACAUGAUUUUAUUAAUUUACGUGCGAUCAUAGUUGCAACUUAUCGUCUGGCAUGUAAGUGUCGUGAUAUUUAUUUAUGUAAUAAUUUCUUUGUAGUAUGACGUAUAUGGACAUAUACAUCUAAACGAUUUAUAUCUAAAAUGUAUGUAUUCCUGUUUGGAUAUUACUUCACAUAUUACAUACUAAUUUAUUAUAAUACAAGGUAAAGAAGGUUUGAUGCAAAUCGACGAUUAAGUAAUUUUUUAUUUAUUUUAAUAUUAUUAGCAUUACUUAACAUGAUGAUUCAUUCUUGUAAUUUAGAAACUUACGAAUUAACAUUUUAAGAAUACAAUUAGGCUGUUGGAAUCAUGUCAGCCAAUUUUUUUUUAUUUGGAAAAUGUUAUGAAGAUUUCAAUAUAUUGUUAGCCACGUGUAAUUGCAAAAUGUGUUUAAAAUUAUUUAUAGUAUUCUUAUUAUGUACUUAUAGAAAGAAAAUGUAUUAUGCGGAGAUUACCUCAAAGUAGUGCCGGGUCCCUUUCAAAGAAUUGAAUAACGGAUCAACGAACGAGAUGAGUAAAUAUGUCACCUAUUUACAAUAGAUAACGUAUACGAAUUGUACUUUUAAAAGUAGGACAUCUUUAUUUUCUUCUUUUCUCACUUGAUCUUUAAUUUCUCUAAAAAAUAAAUAGAGAAUGUUUGAUUUAAUUACUUUAAGUUAUCGACAUUGUUUGCCUAAAGUGAUAUUUAACAUCAGGAAAUUUUUAAUCAAUCUCAUUUGAGUUCAAUGCCUCGUCUUUUUUUGUUAUACCGUUACUUUGGCACGCAUUUCCUAAAUAUAUCCUAAAGGACUUUUCUUUUCUCAGCAAGAUAAAAAAAUUGCAUAUUUAACUUCAGUUGACACAACAUAAUUGCAUGAUACUUAAUCUUUUUUUAAUAGAGAGAGAAAGAAAAAAAAAGACAGUUUACAAUUAAAAUUAAUAUAUUCUAUUGUUAGUUUUAAUGUUGAAAUCUUGUAUACGUACAAUUUUGUACAAAUAUAAAUAAUGUUUAUAUAGAUAUAUUAUUUAAAAAGAAUUUCAAAUUUUUCCUUUAAAGGUUAAAAAAACAUGUUUUUUAGAAAAUUUGUUUUUUUAGACAGACAUAAAAUCAAUUAGAAUCGAGAAAAGGUCAUAGCAGUAUUUUAAGGUUUCUUAUGUGAUUAUAUAUGUGUAAUAUAUUCUGCGCAUUAUAUAUGUGUACAUAUAUAUAAUGCGUUAAAAUUGCACGUCGUUAUUUUCCGUGCUCCCAAUAAAUAUUUUCGGUUUUAAACCGUAGUUUUUUAAUUAAGUCAAAAUAAUAAUAUCACAAUAUUAAAUUUAUAAUUAGUUUAAUAAUAUUAACAAGUAUCUAUUAUGAUUUUUUUCUCUCCCCAAAUGCUGCAAAAAAUAUUACUUCAGCUAAUGUUAGGAGAACGUAUUGAAAGGUCAACAUGUAUUGAAACUAACAUAAUCAGUUGUUGCGAUAAGUAUUAGCAUGUCUCGGUGGUCGAACUGGUUAAGAUACCUACGGAAUGGGGCAGAUAUAGAUGCUUAUUAGCAUCAGUACUAUUAAAUUGGCUAUCUAUUUAAUAUUGUAAUGUUAAUAUUCUAAUUCAAUGUAUUUUAUUAAUAUCAUAAAGUGAAAAAUUGUAUAAGGUCUGUUUUUAUUCUAUAGGAACAAAUGUUUACUCUAUAGAAGUGAGUUUUAACUUUCAUUACAAUAAUGAACCAAAAAUUGUACUAGCUAGGUUGUCACUCUUUUAGAGUAGUACUUUAUAAAAUUUAGAGGAUAAAAAUUGCGUUUUCAAACCAAAGAUAUUCUUUCUUUAAGUAAUACUUUUCAAGUAUUCUCAUUGUUCUAACUUCCUUUGUCGUUUGCAGCGCAUGCCGCGUUGCUGUUUGUAAAAGAACUUUGUUUUAUCAGUAAAUCUUUGGCUACGGUUUGCGCUUCAAUUUUGAUUUCCACUGCUUUAAGAUUUUGAAAUAUUUUUUAAAGAUUGCAAUGAUAUACAUAUAUGUUUUACAUAUAUAAAUAUACAUAUAUUUAAUGACGAACUGAAUAGAACCAUACUUUGCAUUUCAAAUCUUAUUUCACAAACACGUGCAAGUCGAAACAAAUAACUAUAAAUAAUAUAGUUUUUUUAUUUUAAAAUUAUUUUUAUUGAUUUAGUUCUUUGAUUCGCAUUUGUAACUAUUACAAUUUGUUUUUAUAUAAAGCUAUUUACGUUUUUUAAAAUUGGAAAAUUUGACAUUUAUUUAAUUUAAUUGUAAUUAAAUUUAGUGUAGUAAUAUAACAUGGAUAUUGCUAUUGAGAUCCCAACCAGAAAGGAUAGCCUUGACAAAGUUCUGCAGCGUCCACGUCUCGUCAUUCCUACAUCAAUAUUGCCCAAUGUUAUUGAACUGGCAAUUUAUGCACAACAAAUGUUUGACGAAGGGACGUGAAAUUCCGUUCUUACUUGGUUUUAACAUCGUGCACGUUCUGUUAAGGCAACAACUCUAUUUUGACGGAAUAUAGAUGUAUAACUUAGAUACCGAAUAAAAUUUAAUUAUUAAAUUACGAUUUAUCUCUUGAAAACCAAAGUUAUUCUCUCUGAAAUUCGUCAAAUUUCUAACGGAUUAAUUGAUUUAAUAUUUCGUGUGUAAUGAAAGAAAGGAAAAAA